rnacentral:rRNA from 1 species
CGGGGGUAAAGCACUGUUUCGGCUAGGGGGUCAUCCCGACUUACCAAACCGAUGCAAACUCUGAAUACCGGCAAGUUCGAGUAUGGGAGACAGACGGCGGGUGCUAACGUCCGUCGUCGAAAGGGAAACAACCCAGACCGCCAGCUAAGGUCCCUAAUAUCAGUUAAGUGGGAAACGAUGUGGGAAGGCACAAACAGCUAGGAGGUUGGCUUAGAAGCAGCCAUCCUUUAAAGAAUGCGUAAUAGCUCACUGGUCGAGUGGCGCUGCGCGGAAAAUGUAACGGGGCUAAAGCUCAGCACCGAAGCUGCGAGAUUCCGCCCGUAUGGGCGGGAUCGGUAGGGGAGCGUCGUGUCGACAGAGAAGCGUCGCCGUGAGGAGACGUGGAGACGGCACGAGUGAGAAUGCCGGUAUGAGUAGCGAAUGGAGAGUGAGAAUCUCUUCCGCCGAAUGUCCAAGGGUUCCUGGGGAAGGUUCGUCCGCCCAGGGUUAGUCGGGACCUAAGGCGAGGCCGCAAGGCGUAGUCGAUGGACAACGGGUUGAUAUUCCCGUACCGCUCUGUGCGCGCCCGACCAAGACCGGUCUUGCUAAGACUGCAUCUUCGGAUACGGUCGACCCAGACCGGAGGAGGUCAGCAAUGGGGUGACGUGGAAGGGUAAGCGGACCCGGGCGAUGGUUGUUCCCGGGGUAAACGUGUAGGGUGUGGCCCAGGUAAAUCCGGGCCACCAAAAAGCCCGAGGCGUGAUGCCGAUCCGCCUUUAGGAGAAGCCGCUGAACGCCCAUGCCACCGAGAAAAACCUCUAGCGAGUGCACAGUGCGCCCGUACCCCAAACCGACACAGGUGGACAGGUAGAGAAUACCAAGGCGAGCGAGUUAACCCUGGUUAAGGAAUUCGGCAAAUUGGCUCCGUAACUUCGGGAGAAGGAGCGCCCCGGUAAAGUGUAGGAGUUCGCCUCCGAAGCUUGAGGGGGCCGCAGUGACCAGGCCCAAACGACUGCUUACUAAAAGCACAGCAGCGUGCUAAGUCGUAAGACGACGUAUACGCUGUGACGCCUGCCCGGUGCCGGAAGGUUAAGAGGAGGUGUUAGCCCUCGGGCGAAGCUCUGAAUUGAAGCCCCGGUAAACGGCGGCCGUAACUAUAACGGUCCUAAGGUUGAAUCGCAGCCUUAGUAAAACUGAACCAUAUGCGGGAAACUCCUCGUACAGCAGUCCGGUACUCGUCCGUCCUGAAUGGGCGGGCAGUAAAAAUCCGGCUGACAUGGGGACAAUCCGCAGGGAAGGUCCAAUCUGUAAUGGAAACCCUCAGAGACUUGACGUUCAGGAUUGAUCGAUGAAGCUUGACAGUCAGUGGAUCACAGGAUUCGUGGACGGUGAAGGAUGCUUCCAUGUCGGGAUAAACCCCCAUCCCGACAUGAAGACCGGUUAUCAGGUUCUACCUGAGUUCACCGUUGUACAGCACGAACGCGAUGUGCAGGUGUUGCACGCCAUGAAAAGCCACUUCGGAUGCGGCGUGGUUCGCAGUAACCACGGCGACCGCAUGGCCUAUCGGGUGCGUAGCAUCGAGCAUUUGCUACGGCACAUCGUUCCGUUUUUUGUCAAGCACCCGCUGAAAACGAAGAAGCGGAUUGCGUUCGAGAAGUUUCGGCGCAUUCUGCUGAUAAUGGAAGCGGGGGAGCAUCUGACCGACGAAGGCGUUGAUCGGAUACGCCAGAUCGCAAGCCAGAUGAAUCGAGGUCAAUCAAGGUAAAGUCCGGCCCGCUUGGAAACAGGUGGGAUCAUCCGAGCGAAAUUCCUUGUCGGGUAAGUUCCGACCUGCACGAAUGGCGCAACGAUUUGGGCACUGUCUCAACCAGGGACUCGGCGAAAUUGCAAUGUGAGUAAAGAUGCUCACUACCUGCGGCAGGACGGUAAGACCCCGGAACCUUUACUGUAGCUUGGCAUUGAAGUCUGGCGUGUAAUGUGCAGGAUAGGUGGGAGACGAGGAAGCAGAGGCGCCAGCCUCUGUGGAGUCAACCUUGGAAUACCACCCUUUGUACGACGGGCUUCUAACCCGGGUCCGUAAUCCGGAUCGGGAACAGUGUCUGGCGGUCAGUUUCACUGGGGCGGUGGCCUCCUAAAGAGUAACGGAGGCGCCCAAAGGUUCCCUCAGUCUGGUCGGCAAUCAGACGACGAGUGUAAAGGCACAAGGGAGCUUGACUGUGAGACCUACAAGUCAAACAGGGACGAAAGUCGGGCUUAGUGAUCCCAUGGUGGCACGUGGGUGCGCCAUGGCUCAUCGGCUAAAAGGUACUCCGGGGAUAACAGGCUAAUCACGCCCAAGAGUCCAUAUCGACGGCGUGGUUUGGCACCUCGAUGUCGGCUCGUCGCAUCCUGGGGCUGGAGCAGGUCCCAAGGGUCGGGCUGUUCGCCCGUUAAAGCGGCACGCGAGCUGGGUUUAGAACGUCGUGAGACAGUUCGGUGCGCAGGAGACUUGAGGGGAGCUGUCCCUAGUACGAGAGGACCGGGAUGGACGUACCUCUGGUGUGCCAGUUGUUCUGCCAAGAGCACGGCUGGUUAGCUACGUACGGAAGGGAUAAGCGCUGAAGGCAUCUAAGUGCGAAGCCCACCCCAAGAUGAGGUCUCCCACGGGUUUUAACCCGGUAAGGCCCCUGGCAGAACACCAGGUUGAUAGGCCGGAGGUGUAAGCGCAGCAAUGCGUUCAGCUGACCGGUACUAAUAGGCCGAGGGCUUGGACAG